rnacentral:rRNA from 1 species
GACGAACGCUGGCGGCGUGCCUAAUACAUGCAAGUCGAGCGAAUCACUGGGAGCUUGCUCCCGGUGGUUGGCGGCGGACGGGUGAGUAACACGUGGGCAACCUGCCUGUAAGACUGGGAUAACUUCGGGAAACCGGAGCUAAUACCGGAUAAUUUCUUCCCUCACAUGAGGGAAGGUUGAAAGUCGGUUUCGGCUGACACUUACAGAUGGGCCCGCGGCGCAUUAGCUAGUUGGUGAGGUAACGGCUCACCAAGGCGACGAUGCGUAGCCGACCUGAGAGGGUGAUCGGCCACACUGGGACUGAGACACGGCCCAGACUCCUACGGGAGGCAGCAGUAGGGAAUCUUCCACAAUGGACGAAAGUCUGAUGGAGCAACGCCGCGUGAGCGAUGAAGGCCUUCGGGUCGUAAAGCUCUGUUGUCAGGGAAGAACAAGUAUCGGAGUAACUGCCGGUGCCUUGACGGUACCUGACCAGAAAGCCACGGCUAACUACGUGCCAGCAGCCGCCGUAA